rnacentral:tRNA from 1 species
AGCAGCAUGGCUUAGUGGAAAGAGCACGGGCUUGGAAGUCAGAGGAUGUGGGUUCUAAUCCCAGUUCUGCCA